rnacentral:rRNA from 1 species
UACGUAGGGGGCAAGCGUUGUCCGGAAUCAUUGGGCGUAAAGAGCGUGUAGGCGGUCCGGUAAGUCCGCUGUGAAAGUCGGGGGCUCAACCCUCGAAUGCCGGUGGAUACUGUCGGGCUAGAGUGCGGAAGAGGCGAGUGGAAUUCCCGGUGUAGCGGUGAAAUGCGCAGAUAUCGGGAGGAACACCAAUGGCGAAGGCAGCUCGCUGGGACGGUACUGACGCUGAGACGCGAAAGCGUGGGGAGCAAACAGG